AUGAAAGGUGUCAAGCGAAAGUGGUAUCUUCCAGAGGCCACCUGGAGGCCCAUCCUGCGCACGGCCCACAGGAGCGUGGCGUCAGGUGCACCUGUCAGCGGCGGCUCGAGUCCGGCUGGGGUCUGGGCACCGGCUCACGGCCCCGGGCCCGGGGAGUGGUCGCAGCUCCAGCCUGAAGGCCGCACCAGGACAGGUGGGCGUCCCGAAGCCCGAGAUGCCUCGAGGGCCUCCUCAGUUUUUCCAGCCCAGGGUGCAGUGGGGGCCGCAGCCGAGGCUGGAUGGGGCCAAUCCCCGGGGCCCGGGCGCUCCUACCUGCCUGAGGAACCAGGUGACCCAGGCCCCGGUGCCCUUCCAGGAAGCACCUGCGCAGCCAGACUAGGGCCGGACACCCAGAGGUGUUCCCCGGGGCUCCGAGCCCAGGUCCCGAGCCCAGCUGCCCGACAGGUUUUACCCUUCUGGAGCCCCAGGUGAGGAAGUGCCCUUACCGGGGCGGGUAGCUGCUCGGGAAGGCUGUCCCCGGAGAUGCUGUCGCCCAGCCCAGGACUCACCCCCGGGGAUACAGCAUCUCAGGUCCUUGGACACCCUCCCCUGGGUCUCCUGCGGGGCCACCAGCCUCCCACAGAGCACGGCCCUUGUGGCCUGGACUCCGUUUCUUGGCCCUGGGGGCUGCUUGGUGAGGAGUCCAGGACACCUGCUGGGCUGCGACCCGCCCACACGCAGGUUUACUCUCUUUCAGCUGGAGUCAAGGAUUACAAAACGCUCCGGAAACAGAGGAGCCCCCAGCAUCCCUGCCCGGCCUCCCUGGCUCCCCAGGGGCCGUGCCCCCCCUCUGCACACUCCGGGAAACUGGGGCACUUCCCUUAGCCCCGAAGCUGAGCAGCACAGGCCGCCCAUGAACGCCCGCCCCUCUCGCUGGAGGACAGCUUUCCACCAAGGGGCCCCCCUAAUGUCCUCCCUGCCCCUCAACCUCAGGGAGGGCCCCAACCCCUUCCCUCCAGGGCUGCAGGAGGCCUGUC
rnacentral:lncRNA from 12 species